CAGCAGCCGCGGUAAUACGUAGGGUGCGAGCGUUAAUCGGAAUUACUGGGCGUAAAGCGUGCGCAGGCGGUUUUGUAAGACAGGCGUGAAAUCCCCGGGCUCAACCUGGGAAUGGCGCUUGUGACUGCAAAGCUAGAGUGCGGCAGAGGGGGGUGGAAUUCCGCGUGUAGCAGUGAAAUGCGUAGAUAUGCGGAGGAACACCGAUGGCGAAGGCAGCCCCCUGGGCCAAUACUGACGCUCAUGCACGAAAGCGUUGGGAGCAAACAGGAUUAGAUACCCGGGUAGUCCCUGUCUCUUAUAC
rnacentral:rRNA from 1 species